rnacentral:lncRNA from 1 species
CAAGUAUUUGUUGAGUGGGUUUUCAAGGACCUCUCGGUCCAUGGGAAAGAAAGGCAUAAUCGAGCCAGCACAACAGGGUGCCCAUGGGAGAGACAAUUUGGGUGAAAUGUAGAAGAUGGGGAAUUUUGGCUGAGAAGCACACACCUGAGAGGAGUGGUGUCUUGGAAGAUUCAGAAGUGGGAAGGGUGUAGUGUGGCACUGCCUUCCAAGGGGUUCAAACAGUCUUCAGCAUGGAGCCAAAGUACAUCAUAUACAAGGAUCAGUGUUCAAGAUGGGAUAUGUCAGGAGCGAUGGGACACCAGAGGCGGAAGAACCUAUGUCCCCAGGCUACAGCAAAGCUCCCAGCCCUAUGAAAAUCAUCUAGCCUGCUCUGAGCCACAUGCCUAGAGGUCACAGAGGCAUGCGGGAAAGUGAGAGGAAGUGGAAACGUGCUACAAAAAGGGCUCAAAGCAAUGUGCUCACCACCGGAAAAAAAAAUAAAAAUAAAC